UUUAUGGAGAGUUUGAUCCUGGCUCAGAGUGAACGCUGGCGGCGUGCCUAAUACAUGCAAGUCGAACGAUGAAGCUUCUAGCUUGCUAGAAUGCUGAUUAGUGGCGCACGGGUGAGUAACGCAUAGGUCAUGUGCCUCUUAGUUUGGGAUAGCCAUUGGAAACGAUGAUUAAUACCAGAUACUCCCUACGGGGGAAAGAUUUAUCGCUAAGAGAUCAGCCUAUGUCCUAUCAGCUUGUUGGUAAGGUAAUGGCUUACCAAGGCUAUGACGGGUAUCCGGCCUGAGAGGGUGAACGGACACACUGGAACUGAGACACGGUCCAGACUCCUACGGGAGGCAGCAGUAGGGAAUAUUGCUCAAUGGGGGAAACCCUGAAGCAGCAACGCCGCGUGGAGGAUGAAGGUUUUAGGAUUGUAAACUCCUUUUGUUAGAGAAGAUAAUGACGGUAUCUAACGAAUAAGCACCGGCUAACUCCGUGCCAGCAGCCGCGGUAAUACGGAGGGUGCAAGCGUUACUCGGAAUCACUGGGCGUAAAGAGCGCGUAGGCGGGAUAGUCAGUCAGGUGUGAAAUCCUAUGGCUUAACCAUAGAACUGCAUUUGAAACUACUAUUCUAGAGUGUGGGAGAGGUAGGUGGAAUUCUUGGUGUAGGGGUAAAAUCCGUAGAGAUCAAGAGGAAUACUCAUUGCGAAGGCGACCUGCUGGAACAUUACUGACGCUGAUUGCGCGAAAGCGUGGGGAGCAAACAGGAUUAGAUACCCUGGUAGUCCACGCCCUAAACGAUGGAUGCUAGUUGUUGGAGGGCUUAGUCUCUCCAGUAAUGCAGCUAACGCAUUAAGCAUCCCGCCUGGGGAGUACGGUCGCAAGAUUAAAACUCAAAGGAAUAGACGGGGACCCGCACAAGCGGUGGAGCAUGUGGUUUAAUUCGAAGAUACACGAAGAACCUUACCUAGGCUUGACAUUGAGAGAAUCCGCUAGAAAUAGUGGAGUGUCUGGCUUGCUAGACCUUGAAAACAGGUGCUGCACGGCUGUCGUCAGCUCGUGUCGUGAGAUGUUGGGUUAAGUCCCGCAACGAGCGCAACCCCCUUUCUUAGUUGCUAACAGGUCAUGCUGAGAACUCUAAGGAUACUGCCUCCGUAAGGAGGAGGAAGGUGGGGACGACGUCAAGUCAUCAUGGCCCUUACGCCUAGGGCUACACACGUGCUACAAUGGGGUGUACAAAGAGAAGCAAUACUGCGAAGUGGAGCCAAUCUUCAAAACGCCUCUCAGUUCGGAUUGUAGGCUGCAACUCGCCUGCAUGAAGCUGGAAUCGCUAGUAAUCGCAAAUCAGCCAUGUUGCGGUGAAUACGUUCCCGGGUCUUGUACUCACCGCCCGUCACACCAUGGGAGUUGUGUUUGCCUUAAGUCAGGAUGCUAAAUUGGCUACUGCCCACGGCACACACAGCGACUGGGGUGAAGUCGUAACAAGGUAACCGUAGGUGAACCUGCGGUUGGAUCACCUCCUUU
rnacentral:rRNA from 1 species